rnacentral:lncRNA from 1 species
GAGGUCAGCCCAUCUUCUGAUAGUAGAGGUCAGCCCCUCUCCCGAUAGUAGAGGUCAGCCCCUCUCCCGAUAGUAGAGCUCAGCCCCUCUCCCGAUAGUAGAGGUCAGCUCCUCUCCCGAUAGUAGAGCUCAGCCCCUCUCCCGAUAGUAGAGCUCAAGACCUCUCCCGAUAGUAGAGGUCAGUUCCUCUCCCGAUAGGGGAGGUCAGCCCUUCUCCCAAUAGUAGAGGUCAGCCCCUCUCCCGACAGUAGACGUCCGUUCCUCUCCCGACAGUAGAGGUCAGCUCCUCUCCCAAUAGUAGAGGUCAGCUCCUCUCCCGAUAGUAGAGGUCAGCCCCUCUCCCGAUAGUAGAGGACAGCUCCUCUCCCGAUAGUAGAGGACAGCU